CAGAGAACUGGCCACUCUGUUGAUAAAGACUGCGCCCUCCACACCUGGAGAACAGCCUGGAGCAGCUCUCACAGCAGCUCAGACAGGGGCCAGAGGGGUAUGACGGUUUUGAGUUUGGAGAUAGCUGGGGACGAUGGCAGGGUGCGCUGUCGGGCCAGAUUGAGAUGUGAGGGAUUGCGAGGCACCAAGGGACACCCUGAGCGCCAGGUUGGGCACAGCUGGGAAGAAUCCAGGAGGGAGAGAAGGAACAUUCCCGAAGAAGGAACAAUUUCAGAGGGAUGACUGCGAGUCGGGAUGAGGUCCAGCACACCCGGGGUGGCAGUGCACGCUGGGGACACAGGCAGUUCUUAGGUAGCGUCUCAGGCUCUGUGUUGUUCGCUUCGGCCACAGCAGGGAACAAGACAGAUGUAGUCCCUGACCACCCCCCACCGAUCAGCGUGCCAAGUUCCCAUCUUUAGGGCUGGUCAUGAGAAGACAGAAGGGCCACGCCCAGCACUGGGACUACAAGUCCCAGAAGGUUGUGCGGCG
rnacentral:lncRNA from 1 species